rnacentral:tRNA from 1 species
GGUUUGGUGGUCUAGUAGUAUGAUUCACCCUUAGGGCGUUGCCUUCGUUGGUGAGGUCCCGGGUUCAAUUCCCGGCCAGACCC